CACGUAGGGCGCGAGCGUUGUCCGGAAUUAUUGGGCGUAAAGAGCUCGUAGGCGGCCUGUUGCGUCCGCUGUGAAAGCCCGGGGCUUAACCCCGGGUCGGCAGUGGAUACGGGCAGGCUAGAGGUAGGUAGGGGAGAAUGGAAUUCCCGGUGUAGCGGUGAAAUGCGCAGAUAUCGGGAGGAACACCAGUGGCGAAGGCGGUUCUCUGGGCAUUACCUGACGCUGAUGCGCGAAAGCAAGGGGAGCGAACGGG
rnacentral:rRNA from 1 species